CCCAGACAGCCAGGAUGUUGGCUUAGAAGCAGCCAUCAUUUAAAGAAAGCGUAAUAGCUCACUGGUCGAGUCGGCCUGCGCGGAAGAUGUAACGGGGCUAAACCAUGCACCGAAGCUGCGGCAGCGAACGUAUCACCCAAGACAACUUUACGGAGUUGACGAUUGACGGAGCGAAGCGACGUCAAAGCGUUCAUUAAAGUCGAGUUGGCUUAGGGAUACGUUCGUUGGGUAGGGGAGCGUUCUGUAAGCCUGCGAAGGUGGCCUGUGAGGGUUGCUGGAGGUAUCAGAAGUGCGAAUGCUGACAUAAGUAACGAUAAAGCGGGUGAAAAGCCCGCUCGCCGGAAGACCAA
rnacentral:rRNA from 2 species